GACGAACGCUGGCGGCGUGCUUAACACAUGCUAGUCGAACGGAAAGGCCCUGCUUUUGUGGGGUGCUCGAGUGGCGAACGGGUGAGUAACACGUGAGUAACCUGCCCUUGACUUUGGGAUAACUUCAGGAAACUGGGGCUAAUACCGGAUAGGAGCUCCUGCUGCAUGGUGGGGGUUGGAAAGUUUCGGCGGUUGGGGAUGGACUCGCGGCUUAUCAGCUUGUUGGUGGGGUAGUGGCUUACCAAGGCUUUGACGGGUAGCCGGCCUGAGAGGGUGACCGGCCACAUUGGGACUGAGAUACGGCCCAGACUCCUACGGGAGGCAGCAGUGGGGAAUAUUGCACAAUGGGCGGAAGCCUGAUGCAGCAACGCCGCGUGCGGGAUGACGGCCUUCGGGUUGUAAACCGCUUUCGCCUGUGACGAAGCGUGAGUGACGGUAAUGGGUAAAGAAGCACCGGCUAACUACGUGCAGCAGCCGCGGUGAUACGUAGGGUGCGAGCGUUGUCCGGAUUUAUUGGGCGUAAAGGGCUCGUAGGUGGUUGAUCGCGUCGGAAGUGUAAUCUUGGGGCUUAACCCUGAGCGUGCUUUCGAUACGGGUUGACUUGAGGAAGGUAGGGGAGAAUGGAAUUCCUGGUGGAGCGGUGGAAUGCGCAGAUAUCAGGAGGAACACCAGUGGCGAAGGCGGUUCUCUGGGCCUUUCCUGACGCUGAGGAGCGAAAGCGUGGGGAGCGAACAGGCUUAGAUACCCUGGUAGUCCACGCUGUAAACGGUGGGUACUAGGUGUGGGGUCCAUUCCACGGGUUCCGUGCCGUAGCUAACGCUUUAAGUACCCCGCCUGGGGAGUACGGCCGCAAGGCUAAAACUCAAAGGAAUUGACGGGGCCCCGCACAAGCGGCGGAGCAUGCGGAUUAAUUCGAUGCAACGCGUAGAACCUUACCUGGGUUUGACAUGGAUCGGGAGUGCUCAGAGAUGGGUGUGCCUCUUUUGGGGUCGGUUCACAGGUGGUGCAUGCCUGUCGUCAGCUCGUGUCGUGAGAUGUUGGGUUAAGUCCCGCAACGAGCGCAACCCUUGUUCACUGUUGCCAGCACGUUAUGGUGGGGACUCAGUGGAGACCGCCGGGGUCAACUCGGAGGAAGGUGGGGAUGACGUCAAGUCAUCAUGCCCCUUAUGUCCAGGGCUUCACGCAUGCUACAAUGGCUGGUACAGAGAGUGGCGAGCCUGUGAGGGUGAGCGAAUCUCGGAAAGCCGGUCUCAGUUCGGAUUGGGGUCUGCAACUCGACCUCAUGAAGUCGGAGUCGCUAGUAAUCGCAGAUCAGCAACGCUGCGGUGAAUACGUUCCCGGG
rnacentral:rRNA from 1 species